rnacentral:lncRNA from 1 species
CCACUGUUUUCAAAGUGAAUUGUUUGUUGUAUCGAGUCCUUAAGUAUGGAUAUAUAUGUGACCCUAAUUAAGAACUACCAGAUUGGAUCAACUAAUCAUGUCAGCAAUGUAAAUAACUUUAUUUUUCAUAUUCAAAAUAAAAACUUUCUUUUAUUUCUGGCCCCUUUAUAACCAGCAUCUUUUUGCUUUAAAAAAUGACCUGGCUUUGUAUUUUUUUAGUCUUAAACAUAAUAAAAAUAUUUUUGUUCUAAUUUGCUUUCAUGAGUGAAGAUUAUUGACAUCGUUGGUAAAUUCUAGAAUUUUGAUUUUGUUUUUUAAUUUGAAGAAAAUCUUUGCUAUUAUUAUUUUUUCCAAGUGGUCUGGCAUUUUAAGAAUUAGUGCUAAUAACGUAACUUCUAAAUUUGUCGUAAUUGGCAUGUUUAAUAGCAUAUCAAAAAACAUUUUAAGCCUGUGGAUUCAUAGACAAAGCAAUGAGAAACAUUAGUAAAAUAUAAAUGGAUAUUCCUGAUGCAUUUAGGAAGCUCUCAAUUGUCUCUUGCAUAGUUCAAGGAAUGUUUUCUGAAUUUUUUUAAUGCUUUUUUUUUUUUUGAAAGAGGAAAACAUACAUUUUUAAAUGUGAUUAUCUAAUUUUUACAACACUGGGCUAUUAGGAAUAACUUUUUAAAAAUUACUGUUCUGUAUAAAUAUUUGAAAUUCAAGUACAGAAAAUAUCUGAAACAAAAAGCAUUGUUGUUUGGCCAUGAUACAAGUGCACUGUGGCAGUGCCGCUUGCUCAGGACCCAGCCCUGCAGCCCUUCUGUGUGUGCUCCCUCGUUAAGUUCAUUUGCUGUUAUUACACACACAGGCCUUCCUGUCUGGUCGUUAGAAAAGCCGGGCUUCCAAAGCACUGUUGAACACAGGAUUCUGUUGUUAGUGUGGAUGUUCAAUGAGUUGUAUUUUAAAUAUCAAAGAUUAUUAAAUAAAGAUAAUGUUUGCUUUUCUAUUUCCUUUUGAAUUUGUGUUUAUUGUUAAUUCAUAGCUAUUCAAAGUGUGAUUAGAGCUGGGCUUGGUGGCUUGCAUCUACAGUUCCAGCUACCCAGGAGGCAGAAGCAGGAGGAUUGCUUGAGCCUAGGAGUUCGAGGCUGCAGUGAGCUAUGAUCCUGCCACUGAAUUCUAGCCUGGGCGACAAAACAGGAAAAAAGUAUGGAUGGAGGACCAGCAGCAUCUGUAUCACCUGUUUGGAAUUUCAGCUGGGCAGCUUCGAUCCCACCACCUGUAGCCACUGAGGUUCACAGGCUCUGUUUGAGGUGUUGUGUUAGAUUGUGCUGGGUUGGUUUUGCUGCUUAUUGAGUGAUGAAGAGCAACAUAUUAGCUACUGAGAUAUUUUGCAGAAAAAGGAAGAGAUGUCUUCAGCUCAAAUGCUAUCAAACUUGUGAAAUAAACAGCGUUGUUGCUCACACAAAGCCUGUUUGGUAGUCUCUUCACAUGGACGCGUGUGACAUUUGGUGCUGAAGACCCGGGACAGGAGGACUCCUUCAGGAGACGGGUCCCCUGUCCUUGCCCUCACUCCGUGAGGAGAUCCACCUACGACCUCGGGUCCUCAGACCAACCAGCCCAAGGAACAUCUCAUGAAUUUCAAAUCGGAUCUUCUCAGCUUAGCAGCUGAAGACUGAUGCUGCCUGAUCGCCUUGGAAGCCCCCUGGACCAUUACGGAUGCUGAGCUUUGGAUAACUCUUACAGUAGAGGAUUCCCAACUAUAUGAAGACACCCUAGCUGGACGAUCAGUUCUUAUUAAGAACCUGACCCCUCAAACUCUACAACCUCGAUGGACUGGACCCUACUUAGUCAUCUAUAGUACCCCAACUGCCGUCCGCCUGCAGGAUCCUCCCCACUGGGUUCACCGUUCCAGAAUAAAGCUGUGCCCAUCGGACAACCAGCCUAAUCUCUCUUCUUCCUCCUGGA